rnacentral:lncRNA from 1 species
AACCUAAGGACUAAUACCAGUGCCAAUGAAAGGGAUACUGCAUGCGGCAGGUAUAAAAGUAUAUACUCUAGAAAACUACAUCAACUAACACCAUUCUCAUAUAGAAGAAUCUAAGCUGCAAGGCAGUUGCUCUGAAUCUACUCAUUUGUUAAUGCCUCGGCUACCCAAAUCAGCUGCAGCUUUAGCCGCUUUACUUAAAGCACCAGACAUCCAAAGAGCUCCUUUGGAAAAGUAGCUACUGUUAACAACAGCACUUGCAGCAGAGACACCAGUUCUACCUGUAGCUGACACAGCUGAUCUGGUGGUAUCCGAUAUGUGAUACCUCUGAUCCA